UACGAAGGGUGCAAGCGUUACUCGGAUUUACUGGGCGUAAAGCGUGCGUAGGCGGUUUGUUAAGUCCGUUGUGAAAGCCCUGGGCUCAACCUGGGAAUUGCAGUGGAUACUGGCGAGCUAGAGUGCGGUAGAGGAUGGUGGAAUUCCCGGUGUAGCGGUGAAAUGCGUAGAGAUCGGGAGGAACACCCGUGGCGAAGGCGGCCAGCUGGACCAGCACUGACGCUGAGGCACGAAAGCGUGGGGAGCAAACAGG
rnacentral:rRNA from 1 species